AUCAUGGCUCAGAUUGAACGCUGGCGGCAGGCCUAACACAUGCAAGUCGAGCGGUAACACAGAGAGCUUGCUCUCGGGUGACGAGCGGCGGACGGGUGAGUAAUGUCUGGGAAACUGCCUGAUGGAGGGGGAUAACUACUGGAAACGGUAGCUAAUACCGCAUAACGUCGCAAGACCAAAGUGGGGGACCUUCGGGCCUCAUGCCAUCAGAUGUGCCCAGAUGGGAUUAGCUAGUAGGUGGGGUAAUGGCUCACCUAGGCGACGAUCCCUAGCUGGUCUGAGAGGAUGACCAGCCACACUGGAACUGAGACACGGUCCAGACUCCUACGGGAGGCAGCAGUGGGGAAUAUUGCACAAUGGGCGCAAGCCUGAUGCAGCCAUGCCGCGUGUAUGAAGAAGGCCUUCGGGUUGUAAAGUACUUUCAGCGAGGAGGAAGGCGUUAAGGUUAAUAACCUUGGCGAUUGACGUUACUCGCAGAAGAAGCACCGGCUAACUCCGUGCCAGCAGCCGCGGUAAUACGGAGGGUGCAAGCGUUAAUCGGAAUUACUGGGCGUAAAGCGCACGCAGGCGGUCUGUCAAGUCGGAUGUGAAAUCCCCGGGCUCAACCUGGGAACUGCAUUCGAAACUGGCAGGCUAGAGUCUUGUAGAGGGGGGUAGAAUUCCAGGUGUAGCGGUGAAAUGCGUAGAGAUCUGGAGGAAUACCGGUGGCGAAGGCGGCCCCCUGGACAAAGACUGACGCUCAGGUGCGAAAGCGUGGGGAGCAAACAGGAUUAGAUACCCUGGUAGUCCACGCCGUAAACGAUGUCGACUUGGAGGUUGUGCCCUUGAGGCGUGGCUUCCGGAGCUAACGCGUUAAGUCGACCGCCUGGGGAGUACGGCCGCAAGGUUAAAACUCAAAUGAAUUGACGGGGGCCCGCACAAGCGGUGGAGCAUGUGGUUUAAUUCGAUGCAACGCGAAGAACCUUACCUACUCUUGACAUCCAGAGAACUUAGCAGAGAUGCUUUGGUGCCUUCGGGAACUCUGAGACAGGUGCUGCAUGGCUGUCGUCAGCUCGUGUUGUGAAAUGUUGGGUUAAGUCCCGCAACGAGCGCAACCCUUAUCCUUUGUUGCCAGCGAUUCGGUCGGGAACUCAAAGGAGACUGCCAGUGAUAAACUGGAGGAAGGUGGGGAUGACGUCAAGUCAUCAUGG
rnacentral:rRNA from 1 species